rnacentral:rRNA from 1 species
GCAGCAGCCACGGUAAAACGUAGGGGGCAAGCGUUAUCCGGAAUUACUGGGUGUAAAGGGAGCGUAGACGGUUAAACAAGUCUGAAGUGAAAUGCCGGGGCUCAACCCCGGAGCUGCUUUGGGAACUGUAGAACUGGAGUGUCGGAGGGGUAAGCGGAAUUCCCAGUGUAGCGGUGAAAUGCGUAGAUAUUGGGAGGAACACCGGCGGCGAAGGCGGCUUACUGGACGACAACUGACGUUGAGGCUCGAAGGCGUGGGUAGCAAACAGGAUUAGAUACCCCAGUAGUCCCUGUCUCUUAUAC